rnacentral:rRNA from 1 species
GAUGAACGCUAGCUACAGGCUUAACACAUGCAAGUCGAGGGGCAGCAUGAAGUUUGCUUGCAAACUUUGAUGGCGACCGGCGCACGGGUGAGUAGCGCGUAUCCAACCUUCCCCUUACUAGGGAAUAGCCCGGCGAAAGUCGGAUUAAUGCCCUAUGUUCUCCUUUGCGGGCAUCUAACGAGGAGCAAAGAUUCAUCGGUAAGGGAUGGGGAUGCGUCUGAUUAGCCAGUUGGCGGGGUAACGGCCCACCAAGGCGACGAUCAGUAGGGGUUCUGAGAGGAAGGUCCCCCACAUUGGUACUGAGACACGGACCAAACUCCUACGGGAGGCAGCAGUGAGGAAUAUUGGUCAAUGGGCGCGAGCCUGAACCAGCCAAGUAGCGUGCAGGAAGACUGCCCUACGGGUUGUAAACUUCUUUUGUACGGGAAUAAAGUGCGUCACGUGUGACGUUUUGCAUGUACCGUACGAAUAAGGACCGGCUAAUUCCGUGCCAGCAGCCGCGGUAAAAC